AUUGAACGCUGGCGGUAUGCUUAAGACAUGCAAGUCGAACGGUAACAGGUUAAGCUGACGAGUGGCGGACGAGUGAGUAACGCGUGGGAAUCUACCUUGUAGUGGGGGAUAAGCCAGGGAAACUUGGACUAAUACCGCAUACGCCCUAAGGGGGAAAGGCGCAAGUCGCUAUAAGAUGAGCCCGCGUCUGAUUAGGUAGUUGGUGGGGUAAAGGCCUACCAAGCCGACGAUCAGUAGCUGGUCUGAGAGGAUGAUCAGCCACGUCGGGACUGAGACACGGCCCGGACUCCUACGGGAGGCAGCAGUCGGGAAUAUUGGACAAUGGGGGAAACCCUGAUCCAGCAAUACCGCGUGUGUGAGAAGGCCUGCGGGUUGU
rnacentral:rRNA from 1 species